GCGCGCGACGAGGAAGGGCGCUGAGAAACGCGACGCGGGGAAGAGCACCGCAGAGCAAAGGAACACAAUUUUGAGAAUCUCGCGC
rnacentral:rRNA from 13 species